CAGCGUCUUUAUUGACAGAGUGCACAGUAGCUGCGAGUAGAAUAGGCCAGAAAAUAUAGGAAUAUUUAAAUGGAAGUCAAAAAGAUAUAGACUGGGAGUGCAAGAGGCACUAGUAGUGUGUAGAUAGUAGUGCUGAACUUAAAUGAUGAUGUUUUUCUAGAUGAGGUCAUCAUCUAAUACGCCCUCCCCAUUACACCAGUGAAUGAGUGUAUGGCCAUGUGUGAAUUCUGAUGAAAUAUUUGUCAGUCAGGGGAUGUUUCUUAUGUUUACUCCUACAAGUACGGAGGCUAAAUCACUUGUGUCAGGAUGAUAUGAGUAAACUGAAGGUCACUUUCAGCAUGCUUUAGCAUGCCUGGGAGGCGCUGCUGAUAAGGAAAAAGACAAAGAGGACAAAAGUAAAAUUAACUUUUAAUUUCCCACCAAACUAUGACAGUCAGAAACAAGGAGAUGAGUGAAAUCUCUUGCAACAUUCAGCACAGAACUGUAUAUAAAGCAACUUAUCUGAUUCAGCCCAUCACUGAGGCAGAGUAUGUAAUGCUGUUUGUGCAAGUAUAAAAAUGUAUGGAUCUUAACAUGUAACUCAGAAAAACUUUAGUGACACCUCCUUAGAUGAAUACAUAAAUCAGAUCUAUUCAUUUCCUUUUCAGAAUGCUUUGGUGGAUGCUUACAAAGAAGACUUAUUUACAUGCUGAUAGAAGGUCCAGCUGACCCAGGAGAAAGAAGUCUUAAGAAUUUGUCCUUCAUCCAACUAUUGCAAAAACAAAGUGAAGAACUCAACUCAUGCAAAUUAGAAGACUGAGCAGACAGAGGUCCAGAUUCCAUACGUACACACUGUGCCAGAGCUCUGUUGGAGAAACUGGUAGGGAAAGAGCCGAAAAAAGGUAUUGCUCUAAUUUCCAAUCUGCAAAAGUGAAGUGCAGACAGACAAAGCUCUUUUCCCGGUAUUACAGAAGUCUGCAGGAGAAGCAGGAGUUUAAGCUCCUGCCUCCCAGCUGAAGCCGAUCUACAAGACUGUAUUUAUUCUAUAAUCUGUUUUUAUGCUCUUAUCUAUUUAAUCUUCCUCUCGCACCAGUUUUUAUAAGUAUGUCUCCACAGAGAACCUCCAGCACAAGAAAUAUUUCUGCAGAUGAACCCUGAUGUUUUAUAGUAACGCUGUAUAAUCACUGCGUGGGAGGCACUCGGAGUUAAAAUAGUGCAAAAUGCCGUUAGGGGUAAAUCGCUUCAGUGCAGGGAAGUCAGGUUAGCUAUCUGCUUAUUGCUGCCUUUUCAUCCUUCGCAGUCAGCAGCAGUGGCUCUUUCAGCAUUACAUAAUGUUACAUAUGUUGAGCCAGAUUGCGGGCUUCUGCCCGGGGAGCAGCAAGCACUGCCCCCUCAGUGGGAGUCAGAGGAAAGCCCUCAGGAGUCCCGCUUGGGAUUUUCCAAUGCUGCUCUGUGGGCAUGAGGAACUUUGGCCUGCUCUCUGUGCCUAGAUGCACACAUGCACCACCUCCUCCCAUAGUGUGCCUCUCCUCUCCAUUUUUCCCUUUAUUCCUUUCUGAAUAGAGGGGAUCAGUUUCAGCUGCUGGCUGGCAGGAGGGGAUGCAUGAACAGCACCGUGCCCUGCAGCCAUCCCUCACAUUUGCUGCGGGAAAAUGCACUGUGGGGGAUGUUAUUCCAUGGCUUACAGCUGCAGUAAGGAAAUACACUAAAAUUAAAGGCCAGGCAUGGGAUUGAUGGAUUUGGUCCUGUGCGACUCACUCGCUCUGUCAGUGAGCAUACCAGUUACUUCACGGGUUAUUUGUUUAAGCUGAAGAUUCCACUUCUGCUUAAUUGCACUGUAUGUGCACCUCAAAAACGGCUGCAGUUCCAAAUUUAUAAAACAGCACUAUACAGAAUAUAGGCCUAUCAAUUUCACAGUCUAGUUUCUGAUUAGAUUUUACAGCACCUCUGACGAACUGCAUAGAUUUUCCCCAUUAAAAAUGAUGACAAUUCAGUUCUGUCAUUUUAAGUGGAAUUAAAUCCAGCAUUGCCAAGAAUGAUAAUAUCCUUAAAAAAAAAAAAAAAAAUAAAAAAUCAACAACCCACGUACA
ensembl:lncRNA